CAUCCUCUGCGGUAUUUGUAAGUGGCUUAAAUUCUCUUGAGCCUAAGUAUAUGCCCCGGGACUCCGGCUUAGCGUGCUUGUGUGCAUGUCCGCGAUAGGCGGAAAGCCUAAUUGGCGCUACCGGCUCCCACCUGAACCACUGGUUCAAGGGCACAAGUCACUACGAUACAGGCGGAGGGUGC
rnacentral:other from 2 species